GCCAUUUUGUACGGGGGCCUUGAGCAAUGAGCGGCUUGGGCAAGGUUUCCAGGCGGGGUUCAGAGGAGCCGGGGGUGGGGCCGGCUUGGAGUCGAUACAGAGAGAGGAGCGACUCUCGCACUGUCUUGUUGUGUGGCGUUUUUGCCCAUUAGGACUCAACUAAAAACCCAUGGCUUUGGCCAGGCACAGUGGCUGACGCCUGUAAUCCCAGCACUUUGGGAGGCCGAGGCGGGCGGAUCACCUGAGGUCAGGAGUUCAAGAUCAGCCUGGGCAACACGGUGAAACCCCGUCUCUACUAAAAAUACAAAAUUAGCUGGGCGUGGUGGCACAUGCCUGUAAUCCUCGGGAGGCUGAGGCAGGAUAAUCGCUUGAACCUGGGAGGCGGAGGAUGCGGUGAGCCGAGAUCGUGCCAUUGCACUCCAGCCUGGGCAACAAAUCUCCGUCUCACCAAAACAAACAAACGAAAACCGUGGCUUUUAUCCAUGAAGCUAUUAAUAUAUUGCCUUCUUUUGAAGUGGAAUAAAACAAUCUGCCUUCAGAUAACUUAAAAUCUGAUAUGGGAAAUAAGACGCGCUGUAAUAAAUAAUAUGAAAGAGAAUGGGAUAAGUACCAGAAGAUUGUGAACAAAACCUAAUUAAUAAAAUAAAGGGAGAAAAAAAAACUUUGUUUUUUUUUGGUUGUUGGAGUAGGAAGAGAUCAGUAGGUAAAUCUUUAAGGAUAGCUAAAAGUUGGAUUUGCAGUAAUGGAAGUGGGUGAGAGUACGACGCACACAAAGCAAAAAAAGAAUCAAUGAAAUAAGCAAAAGCAUGAGGUGUGGUCCUAUCUUAGUUUUCCGAAGGGGCAAAUAAAUAAACUAUGAGAGGAAUGAAUUAAUGGCAUUUGCAGCAACCUGGAUGAGAUUGGAGACUUAUAUUCUAAGUGAAGUAACUAAGGAAUAGAAACCCAAACAUCGUAUGUUCUCACUCAUAAGUGGGAGUUAAGCUAUGAGGAUGUAAAGGCAUAAGGAUGAUACAGUGGACUUUGGGGACUCAAGGGGAAAGGGUGGGAAGGGGGUGAGGGAUAAAAGACUACAAAUUGGGUGCAGUGUAUACUGCUCAGGUGAUGGGUUCACCAAAAUCUCACAAAUCACCGCUUAAGAACUUACUCAUAUAACCAAAAUGCCACCUGUUCCCCAAAAACCUAUGGAAAUAAAAAAUUUAAAAAACAGCAGCAUGGAUACUAGGCUUAAUACCUGGGUAACGAAAUCAUCUGUACAACAAACCGCCAUGACACAAGUUUACCUAUGUAACGAAUCUGCACACGUAUCCCUG
rnacentral:lncRNA from 10 species